rnacentral:rRNA from 1 species
GCCUACGGGACGCAGCAGUGGGGAAUAUUGGACAAUGGGGGGAACCCUGAUCCAGCGACGCCGCGUGAGUGAAGAAGUAUUUCGGUAUGUAAAGCUCUAUCAGCAGGGAAGAAAGGAAUGACGGUACCUGACUAAGAAGCCCCGGCUAACUACGUGCCAGCAGCCGCGGUAAUACGUAGGGGGCAAGCGUUAUCCGGAUUUACUGGGUGUAGAGGGAGCGUAGACGGCGAUGCAAGUCUGAAGUGAAAGGCGGGGGCCCAACCCCCGGGCUGCUUUGGAAACUGUACAGCUGGAGUGCAGGAGAG